rnacentral:rRNA from 1 species
ACCUAUGGACAAAUCACGAGGCAUGCACCUGAUCUCGUCAGAUCUCAGAAGUUCAGCAGAGUUGAUCCUGCAUAGUGC